ensembl:lncRNA HCG18 HLA complex group 18
GCCUUUUAACAUUCAAGGAUUAGGUAAGUUCUCCCCGCGGUAGACUUCAAAUACUCUUUGUCCUGCCCCUGCUUGGCGAAAUUUACCGAAAUUAUCUACCUAUCCCGCUGGAGUGGGAGCCGGGGGAGAGCUGGAACCGCGUCUCUGCUGCUCACCUUUGUGUCCUUAGCUCCUUCGCAUGGGGUCCGACCGCAACACGUGCGCUGGAUAAACGCUUGUUAACUGGGUGAGAGCCAAGGCCUGUUCUUUCCACUUCUGGGGCUGUGACUUGAGUUUCUCCGCAGGAGCAGAUAGUGUUUGUGUAGGGACUGCGGACUUUUGCAUUACAGCCUCCCUGCUUUGCCCGCCUGCUGCUGGAAGCUUAGCAGAGCUCCCUCUUUGCCCACUAGCAGGGCAUUAGCUGGUGCUGAAGACAGUGGCUGCUUGGCGAGCCUGGAUCUCCAAGUGACCCCCUCAGCAACUCCUGAUGAACAGGACUGAAGCCAAUAUUAAAGCAAGUCAACCAAAGGUUCUCUGGUGUAGACAAGACAGCAAAAGGACAGACUACCUUGUGGAACCUAGCAUUGUUCUCCUUCUGCAGCACUAAGUAACAUUUGUUCUCCGUUAAGAUCUUUGCAAACCACACACAAGAAUUGCUGGUCAUCCUGCCAAUAGAUGCUGCUCACAGAACCAAAUUUCCUGUGCUGAAUUGUCACUCAUGGGCUUGAGAGUAGGAGACUGGAGACCAAGGUGGCUAGAAUCCAGUUGGGCCUGAUGUCUCCCUGUUGAAAGGGCUCCUUGUGGAAUGAAUAGCACAUGGCUCCUGUGGUGGAUCUGAUAGUGGCAUAGCACCAAGUGAUGCAGGCCUGCCAGGGGCCACAGACACAGAAGAUGCUCCCGGGGUCCCCCAUGUACUCCAGACACACUGCAGGCCACCUCUCCCAGCAGGUUGCCAGUCAUGGGCCCCAUCAUCAUGACUUCUGUCCAAGGUGUGCUCGGAAAUCUCUUCCUUAACUGUGACUUUCUGACAGGUGGAGGAUGUGGUCAGGAGUGGGAAAAGGAUUCGAGACGGGAAGAGGGAGGGGUUCAGGAUGAAGAGAGAUAAUCUGUGCCACAGAUGCUGGCCCUGCAGUUAGCUCCCACCUAGUCCGUGCACACACAUUCUAAUCCCCUCCCAUUCCUUUACAUGCUGCGGCCAGAGAGGCCUUUCUCAAAGUGGAAGUCUCAUCCUCACUUCUCUGGUUACAGUGCUGGGCCAUGGUAACUUACAAGGCUUAGCAGGAACUGUCUGCGCACUCCCCCUUCCUGCCCACUACCUUGUUUCCCUCCAGUUGCGAGAGAAAACAUUGAUUGAGCAUUAACUAUGUGCCAGGCUUGUCCUAAGUCCUUUGCAUGUAUUCACUCAAACAAUCCUCACAACAUUCCUAUCACAUCUCCCAUUUCACAGUGAGGGUUCUAAAGCACGUAGUGGGUGAGGAACUUGUCCAGGGUCACACAACUAAGUGGGGGUGGAGAAACAUCAAAUCUAGGUGGUCCAGGUGGUGGCCAGAACCCAUCAGCACCUCACUACAGCUGCCUCCAGUUUCUCGCUCUAGGAAAUACUCUUCCCUGUCAACUCCUGUUGUCCUCUGGGCUCAGUUGACAUGUCAUCUCCUUGAGGAGGACAUCCUGAGAUGCUCCCCGACUAGGGUGGGCACCCACUUCCACACUCCAAAUGCCUAUUUGACCUGUGUAUCGCUGCAUCCCCACUGCCUGGCAGAUAGCAGGCCCCUAAUAAAUAUGAUUUGAGCAAAUAAAUAUAGUUCUUCAAAAAAUAGGGAGGACUUCUUGCUUCAGGUAAUGGUAGGCUAGGACAUUUGGACCAACCCUCCUGCAGAAAAUAGCCAUUUAUUUUGAUGCAAUAUAUCUGGCUAUGACUAGAGAUUUCAAAUAUUUGGAGGGCUAUUAUGUGAAGAACUAAACUUACUCUUUGUGACAUAGAGGUCAGAAAUUGGUCGUUUCCAUAGAGUAUGAGAGAGACAGAAUUGUGCUCAUCAUAAGUAUCUUUUUUAAAAGUUAGACUUAAUAAAAUGGGCUGCCUUGGUAGGUGGUGAGUUCUCUGUCACGAAAGAGAUUCAGCCACUUGCUCUGAGAAAGCAUGGAGAAUAUCAACAUUGUAAGGGUCGACCACCUCAUCUCUGAGGCCCCCUCCUCACUUAGGUUGCCAUUGCAGGUGGAACACUGGGCUGAGUGUCAAAGAACCUGGGUUCCACAAGCUGUGCGACCAUGGCUGGUUGUUUUGGAUCUCAUUCCUAAUAUCUGUUAGUUAAGCUGACCCGUCAAUACUGACCCACUUCACAGAGUUAUGAAGGGAUUAAAUUAGGUAUUACAUGUAAAUCUGUUUUGUUUGCUUUUUGUUGUUCUUUUUUGUUUUGCUUUUUUCUUUGCAUUAUGAAAUCCCAAGUCAACUUUUUCCAUUCUUUUAUUUUUUUAAAAAUUGACAUCAUCAUUAUAACCACAAAAUAAUUUUUAAAAUGGAAAAAAAAAACUCACCUGCAACCCCACAAUCUAAUACAAUAAUCAUACUUUUUUCCCUUUAUUCUCCUUUAUUGUGACCAAGGAUGACUUUGGGCAUUGCUGUGAGGAACUAUUUCGUUUAACACCCUACUACCUGAACAUGAUGCGUACUCAGCCUUUCACCACCCCCCAAGUAGCUACACAUGAUGUGAUAAUAGUAUUGGUGGUGGUUUUAGAGAGUUGGAGAGAAAACUGAAGUUGGAUUUGGGUAAAAGAAAAAAGAGUGGGAAUUAUUUUUUCUCCAUUCUAAAGCCCAUAAAGCAAUGUUAAUUGUUCCCACCCCUCUGCUAUUCUGUCUCCUCAGGUACUGUGUGCAGAAAUGUGAUUGAGAUUCAAGUCAGGGCCUCUCUGCCCUUUUCCCUCCAGAAACAAAACCAAGAUAAUUUAUCCUGAACACGGUGAAAAAAGGAAGGGAGGGAGGAGAAAAAGUCCGGGUCUCACCUGGGAUUCUCUGUCUCCUGCAACAUGAAGGAUUUAGCCUGGGAGGAGGUGGUGAGAACUCUGGGAGAGAAAAAAGAAGGAAAGAAUAGUUUUACCCAUGCUGAAGUUAAUUUAAACCUUCACCUAGAGAAGCAAAAAAAAAAAACCCACACUUUCCCAUUUUGUGCCUCCCUUCCUAGAGUUUUAGCCAAAGGUUUAGCUAAGUAAUUGGUUUUACCAGCGCACUCACUCCUCCUAUCCCAAGUCUGUUUGACUCCCUCCCCAUCAUCCUCCUCACCUCUUUUCAGGCAGGGUGGGGAUAGCAGCAGGAGGAGAUUUUGGGAGCCUGGCAACUCCUGCAAGGACCGCAGGACAGCCCCUCUGUGGGGAUGCGUGGUGCCCCAUCUGCCGCCCUUCUGAAGAAUGCACUGCCUUCACUUUUUACUGUGUUAGAGUCCAUCCAGACUGUUCUAUCCAAAAAAGUUUCUUUUUCCCCCACAGGCAAUCAGGAAAUGAUUCCUUUCCCGACUGCUUCUGUCUAGUGCCUGGGAAUCUUGAGUCAAUCCCUCAGUAAGUCAGUGACUAGGGAAAUCCCUCUCUGAGCCUCCCAGUUCAUGUUGCUUAGGGAACCUGAUAUUUUCGUGAAACCUGCCUACACAUGGGCAGCCCAACAGCAGAACAAAUGGUGGUGACCAAAGUGAACAAAGAAGUAUAGUUGUGCCAGCUUCGUAGUUGCCCAUGUGGACAAGUCAGCAGGAUCAGGACACGAGGAAGAGUAAAUGUGAGACAGUCAAUGUGACUUCUGCGAUAAACAGAUUUUUAAACCCCGAAAUUUUGCAAAAUUUUGGUGAAACCUGAACUUUCUUCGUUGCAUAUACUGGCACUAUCUGUACCAUCAUACAACUGUCUCACAUUAAAGCUAUUUUUCUUGGGCACUGAUGAGUAAGGUUGGUAUAAGUUCCUCAGAUCAACAAAAACCCAUUUUCCUGUAAGUCUUACAUUUAGUAUUUAAGGAACUAAAACUUAAAUACAUUUUGUGAAAUGGUUGACACUUCACUGAUAAUGAUUUAUUGCUUGGAUUAAUAAAUUUUCCAAAAGUUGUCUUAUGUAGAAUAUGGUUUGCAACCAGCAGAACCAUUAAUCUAUACUGCAAUGAUAUGCACUAUGUAUAAUUGUUUAAAAGCCUCUACUUAAUGAUGUAAAAUGCUCUAUUUAAUUACACAUUUGGGUAAACUGUAUACUAACAUCUGAUGGCAUUUUUCCACUGUUUGUUGCUUUUUUCAAAUACUUUAUUGUACAAAGCUGUUCUUAAUAUUUUUCAAGUUUUUUUCUUUGAAUUUUGCUAAUGUUUUCCUUGAAUUAUGAGCACUGACAGAAUGUGCUUAGCACUUUUGGCUAUUCACACAGCUUUUGAGCAUGAUUUGCAUCCAAUAUUUACAUUGCUAGCAAUAAUAAGCCAUCUGUGAGUUUUGUCAAAA